GUGAACAUAUUGUACAAUAUUAUAAAAAACAAAUAUUAAGUACAAUAAUUUCAAUGAGCGGUGUCUUUAUCAUUCUUUAUUAAAGUUUGGAAUACCUAUCAUUAUGGUUACCAAAACUAUACAAUUUUACCAUGAUAGGAUGUGUAAUUUUUUUAAAUAGAAAUUUAAAAUGUAUAACCGACAUAUUCAUAGAUUGUACGGCAAGAUAAACAUACUUAAUACAUUUUAUUAUUUAUUAGUUUAUUACCUCAAACUCAUUGAUCUAUGGUUUUACUACGCAUCUGAUUACUCCAGACCAACGCGCGCACCGGCCACUGACUGAAUUGGUUCUAUAAUUCAUUUUUAAAAAUUUUAUAAUUCUAUCCUGGUGUGUUAUUAAUUUACCCGCUUUUUUGUAUCGGUACAAGUCGUACUUAAACUGUUUCUUUUUUCCUGUUAUUUCAUCAUAUAUAAUGUAACUGUGUGGUGUAUCUAUUAUAUGAUCACGAUUUUAAAUCAUUAUUUUUAAAAUUAUGAUAGAUAUAUAUAUAUAAUAUAUAUUUUUAAAUAAUGUUUACAAUAAUGUGUACAUAUUAAAAAUACGUAUUAUAUUUAUAUUUUAAUACUUAAUUCGGGAGUAGCAAUUUUUAAAGGAAAUAAAUGGACGUAUUCAAGGACGGCGAUCAUGGUAUUUUUUUUUCAAAACACUAAUAAUAAAAAACCAGAAAUUAAUGACGUAGGUAAAUCUCCCACUAUCUAGUUAUUUAUCCACGGUUUGCCAAAUAUAAAUACGAGCUAUCGAUAAUCUAGAGCUUCAUAAAUACUUAAGUCAUCAUCCUAGCUUAUAUAGAACUUCUGUAAGUCGCGGACUUUGUUACAGCCCAGUCGACAGUAAAAAGUCAACGUUAUUCAAACAUCUGUCUAUCCGACGUAUAGUCAACUUUAAGAACCAAGAGCAAUUCCGAUCACUACAGCAAGAUGAAAUAUUGUCUAUUGAUUGUGGUAGCAGUAUGUUUGUUUUUGGCGAUUGAAAUGGUUAACGCCGAUUGUCCAGGAAAUUGCUGGUACUACAGGUCCGACGCAACCAAACGAUGUGCUUCUCCGACAGCGACAAAUGAGUGCAGUGGGUAUGAUCUAUUUGGCCUAUGUCGAUGUUGGUGUUGUUAAACUUGUCUUUUUGAUCGAUUCAUAAAUUGCAUGCAACAUUAUAUAGUUGUCUGUAGGUAUUUUUAUUUUACUUGACUUCGGUAACAAUAUGCUCAUGUUUGUAUUACGGAUUACGCCUAUAAUGAACGUUGCUAUUAUAUGAGUUGUGUUUUCUAUGCUUCUUUCACAAUUCAAUUUAUCCGCAGAAGCAAUAUAAUAGAAAUUUAAAACCAACUAAAUUUAUAUUUGCUGUUUAUGAUGACGGCGUAUCAACUUCUCUUCUCACAAACAUGUCAUACCUAACCAAUUGUUUUUUAUUAUACCUACUUAAAUUAUUAAACUAUUAACCAAAUUUGAUAAUGUAAUCUAUGUUUUUUAUGUUGUUGAGCAAAAUAUGCAUAAUCACUAUAACGUUAAACAAAAUAUGUAUAAUCACCUUAAAAAAUAUGUUGUAUUAUAAACUUAUGAAAUUGAUGUAAACUAAUACAGAAUAUAUUUAGUACUUUUAAUUAUUUGUACACAAUUAUAUAAAUUGAUAAAUAUAAUUUUAUAAUUGACGCACAA